GAAGAUAAUAUUUGCAGUGUGUGAAUGUUUUAUUUUAUUAAUUGGUUUAUUUGUACAGGCCAUCAUUCAUGGCCUUUGCGAGCUGCAGGGCUUGUCUUGGCAGGAGGCUGAAGAGAUGUUCCUCCAGGGCCCCACUUAUCACUCAAGUGAAGUUGAGGAAUUUGACAGAAGAAUUGCUCGAGAAAUGAAAAAUCUCCCCAACAAGAAUCUCGAUGACUUGUAGGACCUCAUGAAAAAGAAUACAAAAAUAAAGUUUGGUGUGAG